AGCUAUGAAAUGCUCUGUUUCAUAAAUAUGUAAACAACCCGAGAUCCACUGAGGUAAAUAUGUUCUGUGCACUGAGAGCAUCACCCAACAACCACAUCCCUCCUAUAGAGAAUCCCCUGAGAGCCCAGCUCCUCACCAUGGACUGGGCCUGGAAGAUCCUCUUCUUGGUGGCAGCAGGUACAGGUGCCCACUCCCAGACGCAGCUGGUGCAGUCAGGGGCUGAGGUGAAGUUUCCUGGGGCCUCAGUGAAGGUCUCCUGCAAGGCUUCCAGAUACACCUUCACCUACCGCUACAUGCACUGAGUGCAACAGGCCCCUGGACAAGGGCUUGGGUGGAUGGGAUGGAUCACACCUUACAAUGGUAACACCAACUAUGCACAUAAGUUUGAAGGCAGAAUCACCAUUACCAGAGACAGGUCCAUGAGCACAAUCUAUAUGGAGCUGAGGAGCCUAAGAUCUGAGGACACAGCUGUAUAUUACUGUGCAAGAUACACUGUGUGAAAACCCACAUUCUGUGAGUGUCAGAAAACCCAGGGAGAA